rnacentral:rRNA from 1 species
CAUCUAAGUAGGGCGAGGAAGAGAAAUCAACCGAGAUUCCGCUAGUAGUGGCGAGCGAACGCGGAAGAGGCCAAACCAAGAGUAGUAAUACUUUUGGGGUUUUGGACAGCGUACGGUAUUAACUGCGGUUAGUAGAAUGAAAUGGGAAGUUCAACCACAGAGCGUGAUAGUCGCGUACACGAAAACUAAAGUUAGCCAGCUGGAUCCAGAGUACCGCCGGACACGUGAAACCCGGUGGGAAGACGGGGGGACCACCCUCCAAGCCUAAAUACUCUCCAAUGACCGAUAGUGUAUAGUACUGUGAAGGAAAGGUGAAAAGAACCCCUGGCGGGGAGUGAAAUAGAACCUGAAACCUUGUGCCUACAAGCACAUAGAGCGCGUCAAUGCGUGAUAUGGUACCUUUUGUAGAAUGGUCCGGCGAGUGAAUGUCACUGGCAAGGUUAAGCUCUUCAGGAGUGCAGCCGAAGCGAAAGCGAGUCUGAAAUGGGCGUUUUUAGUCAGUGGUAUUCGACCCGAAACCGGGUGACCUAGCCAUGAGCAGGCUGAAGUGGAGGUAAAACUCCAUGGAGGGCCGAACCCACUCCCGUUGAAAUGGUAGGGGAUGACUUGUGGCUAGCGGAGAAAUUCCAAUCGAACCCGGAGAUAGCUGGUUCUCUCCGAAAUAGCUUUAGGGCUAGCCUCAAUUAACAUUACCGCAGGUAAAGCACUGAAUGAGCUAGGGGGCGCAAGCUUACUGAACUCUAUCAAACUCAGAAUGGCGGAUAAUGAAUGAUUGGGAGUCACACUACGUGAGAUAAGUUUCGUGGUGGAAAGGGAAACAGCCCAGACCCACAGCUAAGGUCCCAAAGUACAGUUAAGUGGAAAAGGAUGUGAAAUUGCGCAGACAACCAGGAUGUUGGCUCAGAAGCAGCCACUCAUUCAAAGAGUGCGUAAUAGCUCACUGGUCGAGUGAUUUUGCGCCGAAAAUUUAACGGGGCUAAACUGUACACCGAAGCUUGGGAAUAUACAUUUGUAUGUUGGUAGGAGAGCGUUGUGUAAGGGGUGAAGUCGUAGCGAAAGCGGCGGUGGACUUUACACAAGUGAGAAUGCCGGAAUGAGUAGCGAGAAUUAUGUGAGAAUCAUAAUGGCCGAAAGCCUAAGGUUUUAGGAGGAAGGUUCGUCCGCUCCUAGUAAGCCGGGAGCUAAGGUGAGGCCGAAAGGCGUAGCCGAUGCACAUACGGUUGAAAUUCCGUAGCCUCCGAAAGAUUUAAGCAAAGGGACACUUUGAAAGUGUGUGAGCCGGGCGAUGGUUGACCCGGGCGUAAGGGACCGAAAAUAAGUAGGGAAGCACAUAUGGACGAAGGCGAGAAAAGCUUUGUGUAUAUCUAAGGAGCCCGUACCGCAAACCGACACAGGUAGGUAGGAAGAGAAUUCUAAGGCCAACGGGAGAAGGGUUGUUAAGGAACUCGGCAAGUUGACCCCGUAACUUAGGGAGAAGGGGUGCUCUCGAGAGAGAGUCGCAGAGAAUAGGCCCAGGCGACUGUUUAGCAAAAACACAGGUCUCUGCUAAAUCGAAAGAUGAAGUAUAGGGGCUGACACCUGCCCAGUGCUGGAAGGUUAAGAGGAGAUGUGCAAGCAUUGAAUUGAAGCCCCAGUGAACGGCGGCCGUAACUAUAACGGUCCUAAGGUAGCGAAAUUCCUUGUCAGGUAAGUUCUGACCC